CAAAAACAUUUCUUUAAAGAGAUUAAGGUAAUACCUGCUCACUGUACAUAUAAUAUAAAGAGCCGCGCUUUAUAAUCGUGCUAAGGUAGCAUAAUAAUUUGGUUUUUGAUUGAAAUCUAGAAUGAAAGGUUAAACGAGAUAUAAACUUUUUUUUAAUAUUUUUUGAAUUUUUCAUUAAAGUGAAAAGACUUUAAUUAUCUAAAUAGAAGACCCUAAGAAUUUAAAUUAUUUUUAAUAUUGUUAAUUUAUUAAAAAUAAUUUUGGCUGGGGCGGCUUUUAAGUAUACAACGUAUAUGUUAACCUUAAAUUUUUUAAACUUAUAAAAGAAUCUAAAGAUCCAUUUUAAAUGAAUAUAAGAAAAAUUACCUUAGGGAUAACAGCGUUAUUUUUAUUUAGAGAUCUAAUCGUAAUUAAAGUUUGCGACCUCGAUGUUGGAUUAAGAUUUCUUAUUGGGGCAGGUUUUAAUAAAGAAAGUCUGUUCGUCUUAUAAUAUCUUACGUGAUCUGAG
rnacentral:rRNA from 1 species